rnacentral:tRNA from 1 species
CCAUAGCUCAGACGGGAGAGCACCUGCUUUGCAAGCAGGGGGUCGGCGGUUCGAUCCCGCCUGGCUCCACCAC